rnacentral:rRNA from 1 species
CACGUAGGAACCGAGCGUUAUCCGAAUUUACUGGGCGUAAAGCGCGUGUAGGUGGCUCGAUAAGUUGGGUGUGAAAGCUCCUGGCUCAACUAGGAGAAGCCGCUCAAAACUGUCGGGCUUGAGAACGGUAGAGGGAGGUGGAAUUCCCGGUGUAGUGGUGAAAUGCGUAGAUAUCGGGAGGAACACCAGUGGCGAAGGCGGCCUCCUGGACCGUUUCUGACACUGAGACGCGAAAGCUAGGGGAGCGAACGGG